rnacentral:rRNA from 1 species
CACGGGGAGGUAGUGACGAAAAAUAACGAUACGGGACUCAUCCGAGGCCCCGUAAUCGGAAUGAGUACACUCUAAACCUUUUAACGAGGAUCAAUUGGAGGGCAAGUCUGGUGCCAGCAGCCGCGGUAAUUCCAGCUCCAAUAGCGUAUAUUAAAGUUGUUGCGGUUAAAAAGCUCGUAGUCGAAUCUGUGUCCCGCGCCGUCGGUUCAUCGCUCGCGGUGUCCAACUGGCGUGUCCGCGGGACGUCCUGCCGGUGAGCUUAGCCCGCGAGGGCGGCUCAAUUCUAAAUCCCAUCGCGGUGCUCUUAACCGAGUGUCGAGGUGGGCCGGCACGUUUACUUUGAACAAAUUAGAGUGCUUAAAUCCAGGCAAAAUACUGUCUGAAUAUUGUGUGCAUGGAAUAAUAGAAUAGGACCUCGGUUCUAUUUUGUUGGUUUUCGGAACCCCCGAGGUAAUGAUUAAUAGGAGCGGAUGGGGGCAUUCGUAUUGCGACGUUAGAGGUGAAAUUCUUGGAUCGUCGCAAGACGGACAUAAGCGAAAGCAUUUGCCAAAAACGUUUUCAUUGAUCAAGAACGAAAGUUAGAGGUUCGAAGGCGAUCAGAUACCGCCCUAGUUCUAACCAUAAACGAUGCCAGCUAGCGAUCCGCCGACGUUCCUCCGAUGACUCGGCGGGCAGCUUCCGGGAAACCAAAGCUUUUGGGUUCCGGGGGAAGUAUGGUUGCAAAGCUGAAACUUAAAGGAAUUGACGGAAGGGCACCACCAGGAGUGGAGCCUGCGGCUUAAUUUGACUCAACACGGGAAACCUCACUAGGCCC